rnacentral:lncRNA from 1 species
GUCAAAGGUCAUUUUAUCUGGGACUCUUGGACUGAAUAUUGACAUAAAAAUUUAAACUAAGUAAAUAAAUAAAUAAAAAUAAAAAUAAAACUUUACAACUUGGGCCACUUUGACAAUUUGGCCUAAUUUUCAACUAAGUAUGGAUGGAUUUCUUGAUUGGGCUGGGAAUUUGCUUAUUGGGCCUCGCCUUCAAGAAUUUGGGCUUUUGUGACUCGUAUCAUUCCCCCCUUCCUCAAAAAGAUUCGUCCUCGAAUCUGAAAAAUCAAAUGAACUCGACUUUCCUCUAUCGAAC